UCCUCCUUAGCUCAGCAAGGUAGAGCAUGCGGCUGUUAACCGCAGGGUCGUCCGUUCGAGCCGGACAGGGGGAGCCA
rnacentral:tRNA from 1 species